CAUUACUCUGACAUCGGAGCUGCGGCCCAUAGAGGCGGGAAUGUUACAAAUGGGGCAUUCGGUCAACUUCAGACAGGUCAUACCCCCGGACCAGAGCAACUUUAUUUCCAGAGGCUAGUGUCGAGAUACCUGCACCCAAUAGAGCAUGGCACAAGCAUACGGAGUUCAAGAUCUUUGGUGUCCUUCAGCACUCGCAUGUCGCUGGUGUCCGCAUAACCACACGUCACUUCCGGGGCGGGCGCGAUCUUCCGUUGCUUAUCACCGAUCCGAAUUACGAUUUCAACUUUCAGGACCUUCGGAAAUUACCGGAAGAGAUCGCCGUUUACCCAGGUGACUGCUUCAAAGUAGAUUGUCACUAUAACACCGUUGGAAAAACACAGCCAGUUUUGGGUGGUCUGACAACUAAAGAUGAGAUGUGCAUGUCGUUUGCCUACUACUACCCGAGAACACCAUUG